UUCCCUCAUCCAAAAAUAACACAUCCGCAGCCUCAACAAUGUCAACCCAGAACAAGGGCGAAACCAGAAACUCCAGCAGUACGCGACUCGUCCAAAACAGUCACGCAGUGCGCCCAUCGAAUUGAGUCUCGCACGUGUCUCUCUCCCUCGACCUGAUCCUCUUGAAAGUUGGAGUACAAGGCCAGGUGUCUCCAUCUCCUUACAAGCUCGUUCUUGGCUCAAAAUCGGACGACUCUCCCCUCUUUUCUAUUUAAAAAUGAGGAGGAUUUUCGGAGACCAAAGAAUACCCAAAAACUUUUUGGAAUUCUUGGUUCCACAAUUCAAAUUUUAAAACAUUUUGUGGCUUUUUGAGUUAAAGAGGUGGAAUCGAUUCCAAACUCGUUGUCCCGAUUUGCUGCUCAGCACAAAGUAAUCACGUAUAUUUUCCUUCUUGCUAGUUUAAUUUAAUUUUCUCUGAUUAGAUUUUGCAUUAUGAAGGGUUUUCGUCUGCAUAUUUUUUAGUUAUCUUGUUGGCUUCUUGUCUUCAUAAUAUGAUUGGUAGUUUAGCGUUUUCAAUAUAUUAGAUUGUCUGUGAUUGAUUAUAUCCACAAAAACUUGCAGAUUUUCUUCAACUCUAUUAAAAAAUUAGAAUACCCCUUUUGUUUGAUUGUCAAUAUUUACAUUAAGUUAAAAUUAGAAUACCCCUUUUGUUUUAUUGUCAAUAUUCACAGUAAGUUGUGGAUGAUUAAUGUUCAAGUUUGUCACUUUCAUCUCAGAACAUGUUCUGUAGCUUUAAAAAAAAUAAUCCUUUCAUUUCAUGGUCUCGCCUCUUUCACUUCCCACGUCGUUUUAUCCCUCUGAUGGCAUUAUUCUAUCUCCUUAUUUGAGAAAUUUGGUUUGAGAUGAUUAGCUUUUCGUAGUUGUGUUGCUUCUAUGGUUGUUGUUUAAAUUAUGGUUGGACUGGUAUCAUACGGAUCAUCUCUAUUUCACUCUCCUGUUACAUGAUCGUUCUGACAAGUUUAUUGUGCUUACAUUUAAGUGUUAGUUGGGUGUAAAUGGAGCCUGUAGGAGUUUGUUUGGACUGUUAUUACUGUUUGAAUUAGUUUUCUUGUUGUUUCAUUGUUUGUUUAAAUUAUGAUCAGUUGGCGACUGAAAGGGUGCAAAACUCUAUGUUCAAUAACCUUUGUGCCUGUUCUGUGUAAUUGUUUAAGUUAGAGUAUGACAUUCAUAAUUAUUUCCAUUGCAAUUCGUUACUUGCUCAAAUUUCUUAGCAACACCAUGUAGUUAGGAUGACUACGGUUAAGUUCCUUUAUUAGUUUUAAGAAAUCAUAUUUUAUUACUUUAAAAAUAUUGUUCACUGUGUUUUGGAUUUUUUACAUGAUGAUAACUAGAUCGUUAAUUUGACUUGAUAUUAUUCAUACUGAGGUUCUUAUUUUACUCUUUUCUUUUCCUCCUUUUGCAUGAACACGCUUUCCGUGAAUGAGUCCAAUGGACUCCCCUCUCUUGCAUUUUCCUCUUUUUGAGUCAACCUUCUUCGGAGUUGUGAAAGGGAGCUAAUAUUAUUUGUUUAGACACCCAAAAAUACAGCAGCAGCAGUAGCCUAAAUGGCUAAAAGAAUAGCAUUUUAUCGUACUUGAAAAGUCCCAAAAAUUGCACUAAUUGAGGCAGAGUUACGAUAACCUCAAAAGGCUGAAAAUGAGGAGCAAAUUUGGGUUAAAAUGCCUAAUUAAUGAAGCAGUAGCCGCAGCCUUAGAAAGGCUAAAUUUUUUUUGAAAGUUUUGGACUUUCAAAAGUCCAAGCUAAACGACAGCGGCAUCGACCUGAAGGGCUGGGACUUGGGGGUGAAAUAAAAUUUCAGUCGCCCCCUUGUUUUCUUAUUCUCUUAUUUGCCUUGAUAUUAGUAUAUUUUCUUUAUUAUAUUUGAUUGUGAAAAACUAACAACUUUAAAAUUCUCUUCUUGACUUAGAUAAAACCGCCAUGGAGCUCCUCGAGUUUAUUUUAUCAAAUCUUUCUUUUGUAUCUUACAAUUGGUGGCAUUUCAAAUUUUCAUUUAUUCUUCAAACCCUUUUUAUGUUUGAUAAUUUAAGCUUAUAGAAUGACUUGAGAACAUUUUGUGUUCUUUCAUAGUUGUUAAAAAGCUUUGAAUCCA